rnacentral:rRNA from 1 species
UACGUAGGGGCUAGCGUUAUCCGGAAUUACUGGGCGUAAGGGGUGCGUAGGCGGUCUUUCAAGCCAGAAGUGAAAGGCUACGGCUCAACCGUAGUAAGCUUUUGGAACUGUAAGACUUGAGUGCAGGAGAGGAGAGUGGAAUUCCUAGUGUAGCGGUGAAAUGCGUAGAUAUUAGGAGGAACACCAGUAGCGAAGGCGGCUCUCUGGACUGUAACUGACGCUGGGGCACGAAAGCGUGGGGAGCAAACAGGAUUAGAUACCCCGGUAGUCCCUGAG